ACGGGUAACUAACANGGUGGGCAACCUGCCUGUAAGACUGGGAUAACUUCGGGAAACCGGAGCUAAUACCGGAUAAUCCUUUUCCUCUCAUGAGGAAAAGCUGAAAGUCGGUUUCGGCUGACACUUACAGAUGGGCCCGCGGCGCAUUAGCUAGUUGGUGAGGUAACGGCUCACCAAGGCGACGAUGCGUAGCCGACCUGAGAGGGUGAUCGGCCACACUGGGACUGAGACACGGCCCAGACUCCUACGGGAGGCAGCAGUAGGGAAUCUUCCGCAAUGGACGAAAGUCUGACGGAGCAACGCCGCGUGAGCGAUGAAGGCCUUCGGGUCGUAAAGCUCUGUUGUUAGGGAAGAACAAGUAUCGGAGUAACUGCCGGUACCUUGACGGUACCUAACCAGAAAGCCACGGCUAACUACGUGCCAGCAGCCGCGGUAAUACGUAGGUGGCAAGCGUUGUCCGGAAUUAUUGGGCGUAAAGCGCGCGCAGGCGGUCCUUUAAGUCUGAUGUGAAAGCCCACGGCUCAACCGUGGAGGGUCAUUGGAAACUGGGGGACUUGAGUGCAGAAGAGGAAAGCGGAAUUCCACGUGUAGCGGUGAAAUGCGUAAAGAUGUGGAGGAACACCAGUGGCGAAGGCGGCUUUCUGGUCUGUAACUGACGCUGAGGCGCGAAAGCGUGGGGAGCAAACAGGAUUAUAUACCCUGGUAGUCCACGCCGUAAACGAUGAGUGCUAAGUGUUAGAGGGUUUCCGCCCUUUAGUGCUGCAGCUAACGCAUUAAGCACUCCGCCUGGGGAGUACGGCCGCAAGGCUGAAACUCAAAGGAAUUGACGGGGGCCCGCACAAGCGGUGGAGCAUGGGUUUAAUUCGAAGCAACGCGAAGAACCUUACCAGGUCU
rnacentral:rRNA from 2 species